UUAGAGGAGCUACCUGUGAGAAACAUCAAGGGGUUAUGAAACUCUGGUGAUAUGGAAUGCUUGCACUAUAAUGAUACUAGAACUGUUGAUAUAUAAGAUAACAUAGAGCUCCUUGCAGAGGACAGCCCAUGUGGCACCUGGGUGACAAACAGCCUGGCUCCAGUUGAUAGACACCCCAGCUGAUGUGUCUAGGGAUGCUCCUGUUUCUCACAGCUCUGACUGAUAAAUGCUCCAGCUGCUUAAAGCUCAAGGCUAAACAUCCCCAGCUCUGCACUGAUCCCACAGGGACACGAGAUGAUGUAGUGGGGUAUGACCCUGAGCAUCAGAUCAGAUACUCUCCUCUCUUCAAGGCUAAUGCAGUGGUGGUUCUCUAUGUUUCCAAGAAGAUCUUUUGCUGUUCCUUCAUUAUUGGUGCAGAGCAGUGGUGGUGCUGCCUGCAUGAACUACAGGGAAAUAAACCAGACCACCAAGUUUCACAUCCGACACUGUUACUAAUGGACCAAAUCGAUACUAUUUCUUUUCUUCCCCAAGGCCUGUCCCCAAAGCAGGUUUGUGUUUCAGGAUCCCGCGCAGCGUGAGCUGGGAGAGCAGUGUCAGUCACCAGAGGGCACCAGGGAAGAAGGAUGCUGAGAGUUCCUCUUGUUUCUCUGCUCCACAGUUAGCACAUGAAGGAGGGACAGUUCUUCAGCACUGCCCUCUGCUGCUGCUGUUUGUCCACAGGCAAUUUCACCAUGACAAAGCA